UACGUAGGUGGCAAGCGUUGUCCGGAUUUACUGGGCGUAAAGCGCGCGCAGGCGGCCGGCUAAGUCCGGUGUGAAAUCUCCCGGCUCAACUGGGAGGAGUCAUUGGAUACUGGUCGGCUCGAGGGAGGCAGAGGGGAGUGGAAUUCCCGGUGUAGUGGUGGAAUGCGUAGAUAUCGGGAGGAACACCAGCGGCGAAGGCGGCUCUCUGGGCCUUUCCUGACGCUGAGGCGCGAAAGCGUGGGGAGCAAACCGG
rnacentral:rRNA from 1 species